rnacentral:rRNA from 1 species
AUACGUAGGGGGCGAGCGUUGUCCGGAAUGAUUGGGCGUAAAGGGCGCGUAGGCGGCCGCUUAAGUCUGGAGUGAAAGUCCUGUUUUCAAGAUGGGAAUUGCUUUGGAUACUGGGGGGCUUGAGUGCAGGAGAGGUUAUCGGAAUUCCAGGUGUAGCGGUGAAAUGCGUAGAGAUCGGGAGGAACACCAGUGGCGAAGGCGGGUAACUGGACUGCAACUGACGCUGAGGCGCGAAAGUGUGGGGAGCAAACAGGAUUAGAUACCCUGGUAGUCCACACUGUAAACGAUGAAUGCUAGGUGUAAGAGGUAUCGACCCCUUUUGUGCCGGAGUCAACACAAUAAGCAUUCCGCCUGGGGAGUACGGCCGCAAGGUUGAAACUCAAAUGAAUUGACGGGG